CCUACGGGGGGCUGCAGUAGGGAAUAUUGGGCAAUGGAGGCGACUCUGACCCAGCCAUGCCGCGUGCCGGAUGAAGGCGCUAGGCGUCGUAAACGGCUUUUGUCGGGGAAGAAAACGUCUCUGCGGAGAUAACUGACGGUACCCGACGAAUCAGCACCGGCUAACUCCGUGCCAGCAGCCGCGGUAAUACGGAGGGUGCCAGCGUUGUCCGGAUUCAUUGGGUUUAAAGGGUGCGCAGGCGGAAGCUUAAGUCGGGGGUGAAAGACGGUUGCUCA
rnacentral:rRNA from 1 species